rnacentral:ncRNA from 1 species
UAAAAGGCAAUGAAGGGAAGAAUAAGGAAUUAAUCCAUUUCAGAGAGUAGCUGCCUUAGGCUGUGAGCAGCUAUAUGGACACUCCUUUAGUGCGUCCUAGAGCCUUUCUACCGAAUUUUAGUAGGUAGGAACGGUGAUUCCGUUAUAAUUUUGAGUGAGGCUUUGCCUAAUUAGAGUGGAACCACGGAGUGCCCCUUCGUCUCUAAG